UUUGGGUUUUAUUAGGUGCGGUCAACUCAUCCUUAUCUCCAGCUUUCUCUCACCGCGGGAUGUCUGUAUUCGGGAAGUGAGACUUGCUGUUUGGGUACUCUGUUGCAUUUACGGUUCCUUCCCAGAUCCAUAUGCAGAAGAUCUGUUUCUUCUCCCUCCACCCGGUUCCCAGCUUCCCAUAGGAUUCCUAAAGGUGUCUGCCCGUCUUCCCCAUCACACUCGCACCCAUACGGAUAGAUGGGAACGGAUCCGUCUCGAACGAGACACCUCAGCUCAACGUCCUGUCUCUGAGGUUAACAGCCACUUUCUCCCGGGGAGUCGAGGUGCCAGUGACCUAUUUAUAUCCACGCGGAAAACCUGAGAAGCAAGCGUAGAGCGGAGAUACGGGGGAAGGAGAGAGAUGGCAGGCAGUGCGGAGCACAGAGACAGCAUGAUCAUGAUGUCUUCUCAAACCUGGAUGGAGCCACUCCUGAGGUCAACCCCUCCUCCUUGACCUUGCAGGAUAUAUAUGUGAGCCAACCAUUAUCUUUGUGGCUGGGGCUACAGGAGAUAGGUCGCUGUCAUCUGCAGCCACAAAGGUCCCAAUUAACAUAACUGUCACCCUCAACAUCAACACUUCUCAUUAAGCCACAACUAGCUUUAGGCCAUUGUGAUUGGUGCCAUUGAAUUCAAUGACUCAGGACUCUCCCCUCCAUGGGCUCACCCCCAGAUGAGAUAUGGGAUAUGAAUAAAAUAGUUUUUAAAAAGCACAAAGUGUUUUAGGCAAUGUCAUAUUGCUCCCCGCAGGUCAUCACAUUACGUUUGUAAAAAUUCAAGAGCAAAUUAAUUUGCUCAGUUGACCCAUGUGGAUGACGAAACACGUGGGAAUUUAAAAAAUAUGCCUGAGAUCAAUUCUUUUUGUUUGGCUCACUUCAUCCUGUGAAUCUGUGGCACACCACAAGUUGUAUAAUAUUCCAUUCUAAUUAUACUUUGUUGGAACACAGGAUAUAAAAGAAACCAGAAUUGAGAGAAGACACCCAUGCAUAGGACUAUGUCUCUAUCCCGGGCUCAUUAAAUACUCGUUCUGGUGCUG